rnacentral:rRNA from 1 species
UACAGAGGUGGCAAGCGUUGUUCGGAAUUACUGGGCGUAAAGGGCGCGUAGGCGGGAUGGCAAGUCGGUCGUGAAAUCCCUCGGCUCAACCGAGGAACGUCGAUCGAUACUGCUGUUCUUGAGGAUUGCAGAGGAGACUGGAAUUCCCGGUGUAGCGGUGAAAUGUGUAGAGAUCGGGAGGAACACCGGUGGCGAAGGCGGGUCUCUGGGCAAUUCCUGACGCUGAGGCGCGAAAGCGUGGGGAGCAAACGGG